AUUCCGGAGAGGGAGCCUGAGAAACGGCUACCACAUCCAAGGAAGGCAGCAGGCGCGCAAAUUACCCAAUCCUGACACAGGGAGGUAGUGACAAUAUAUAACGAUACAGGGCCUUUGGUCUUGUAAUUGGAAUGAGUACAAUGUAAAUACCUUAACGAGGAACAAUUGGAGGGCAAGUCUGGUGCCAGCAGCCGCGGUAAUUCCAGCUCCAAUAGCGUAUAUUAAAGUUGUUGCAGUUAAAAAGCUCGUAGUUGAACUUUGGGCCUGGGCGGACGGUCUACCUAUGGUAAGCACUGUUGCGGCCGGGUCUUUCCUUCUGGCUAGCCCUCGGGCGAACCAGGACGAUUACUUUGAGGAAAUUAGAGUGUUCAAAGCAGGCCUUUGCUCGGAUAUAUUAGCAUGGAAUAAUAGAAUAGGACGCAUGGUUCUAUUUUGUUGGUUUCUAGGACCAUCGUAAUGAUUAAUAGGGACGGUCGGGGGCAUCAGUAUUCAGUCGUCAGAGGUGAAAUUCUUGGAUUGACUGAAGACUAACUACUGCGAAAGCAUUUGCCAAGGACGUUUUCAUUAAUCAAGAACGAAAGUUAGGGGAUCGAAGAUGAUCAGAUACCGUCGUAGUCUUAACCAUAAACUAUGCCGACUAGGGAUCGGGUGGUGCUACUUUGCCCACUCGGCACCUUACGAGAAAUCAAAGUUUUUGGGUUCUGGGGGGAGUAUGGUCGCAAGGCUGAAACUUAAAGGAAUUGACGGAAGGGCACCACCAGGAGUGGAGCCUGCGGCUUAAUUUGACUCAACACGGGGAAACUCACCAGGUCCAGACGUAAUAAGGAUUGACAAGUUAGAGACUUCUCUUGAUCUUACGGGUGGUGGUGCAUGGCCGUUUUUAGUCCUUGGAGUGAUUUGUCUGCUUAAUUGCGAUAACGGACGAGACCUUAACCUGCUAAAUAGGGCUGCGAGCAUCUGCUCGGGUGCUCUUCUUAGAGGGACUAUGGGUAUCAAACCCAUGGAAGUUUGAGGCAACAACAGGUCUGUGAUGCCCUUAGACGUUCUGGGCCGCACGCGCGCUACACUGACGGAGCCAGCAAGUCCAACCUUGGUCGAGAGGCCCGGGUAAUCUCGUGAAACUCCGUCGUGCUGGGGAUAGAGCAUUGUAAUUUUUGCUCUUCAACGAGGAAUUCCUAGUAAGCGCAAGUCAUCAGCUUGCGUUGAUUACGUCCCUGCCCUUUGUACACACCGCCCGUCGCUACUACCGAUUGAAUGGCUUAGUGAGGCUUCAAGAUUGGCGCCGCGGGAGGGGCAACUUUCCCAUGGGGCCGAGAAUCUAGUCAAACUUGGUCAUUUAGAGGUCGUAAAAGUCGUAACAAGGUUUCCGUAGGUGAACCUGCGGGAU
rnacentral:rRNA from 1 species